UACGAAGGGGGCGAGCGUUGUUCGGAAUUACUGGGCGUAAAGGGCGCGCAGGCGGCCUUAGAAGUCAGAUGUGAAAGCCCCGGGCUCAACCUGGGAAUGGCAUUUGAUACUCUGAGGCUGGAGUACGGGAGAGGAGAGUGGAAUUCCCAGUGUAGAGGUGAAAUUCGUAGAUAUUGGGAAGAACACCGGUGGCGAAGGCGGCUCUCUCGGACCGCAACUGACGCUGAGGCGCGAAAAGCUAGGGGGGAGCAAACAGGAUAGAUACCC
rnacentral:rRNA from 1 species